GAUGAACGCUGGCGGCGUGCCUAAUACAUGCAAGUCGAGCGAACGGACGAGAAUCUUGCUUCUCUGAUGUUAGCGGCGGACGGGUGAGUAACACGUGGAUAACCUACCUAUCAGACUGGGAUAACUUCGGGACACCGUAUCUUAUACCGGAUAAUAUUUUGAACCGCAUGGUUCAAAAGUGAAAUACGGUCUUUCUGUAUCUUCUAGAUGGUUCCGCGCUGCAUUAGCUAGUUGGUAAGGUAACGGCUUAUCAAGGCAACGAUGCAUAGCCGACGUGAGAGGGUGAUCGGCCACACUGGAGCGGAGACGCGGUCCAGAGUCCUACGGGAGGCAGCAGUAGGGAAUCUUCCGCAAUGGGCGAAAGCCUGGCGGAGCGGCGGCGCGUGAGUGAUGAAGGUCUUGGGUUCGGAAAACUGUGUUAUGGGGGAAGAACAGAUGUGUAAGUAACUGUGGACAUAUUGACGGUAACUAAUCAGAAAGCAACGGCUAACUACGUG
rnacentral:rRNA from 1 species